rnacentral:tRNA from 1 species
UAAAAUAUCAUUCUCUCAGACUCAUAAUCUGGAGGUCCUAGGUUCAAGCCCUAGCUGGUCCA